rnacentral:rRNA from 1 species
AUUGAACGCUGGCGGCAUGCUUUACACAUGCAAGUCGAACGGCAACGAGGAGAAGCUUGCUUCUCUGUCGGCGAGUGGCGAACGGGUGAGUAUAGCAUCGGAACGUGCCAAGUAGUGGGGGAUAACCAAACGAAAGUUUGGCUAAUACCGCGUAAGCUCCAAGGAGGAAAGUAGGGGACCUAAAUAAGGCCUUACGCUAUUUGAUCGGCCGAUGUCGGAUUAGCUAGUUGGUGGGGUAAUGGCUCACCAAGGCAAUGAUCCGUAGCGGGUCUGAGAGGACGAUCCGCCACACUGGGACUGAGACACGGCCCAGACUCCUACGGGAGGCAGCAGUGGGGAAUUUUGGACAAUGGGGGAAACCCUGAUCCAGCCAUGCCGCGUGUAUGAAGAAGGCCUUAGGGUUGUAAAGUACUUUUGUUAGGGAAGAAAAGCUAGUUUUUAAUAAAAAUUAGUGAUGACAGUACCUAAAGAAUAAGCACCGGCUAACUACGUG